AUUAAACGCUGGCGGCAUGCCUUACACAUGCAAGUCGAACGGCAGCACGGGGGCAACCCUGGUGGCGAGUGGCGGACGGGUGAGUAAAGCAUCGGAACGUAUCCUGGAGUGGGGGAUAACGUAGCGAAAGUUACGCUAAUACCGCAUAUUCUGUGAGCAGGAAAGCAGGGGAUCGCAAGACCUUGCGCUCUGGGAGCGGCCGAUGUCGGAUUAGCUAGUUGGUGGGUAAAGGCCUACCAAGGCGACGAUCCGUAGCGGGUCUGAGAGGAUGAUCCGCCACACUGGGACUGAGACACGGCCCAGACUCCUACGGGAGGCAGCAGUGGGAAUUUUGGACAAUGGGCGGAAGCCUGAUCCAGCCAUGCCGCGUGAGUGAAGAAGGCCUCGGUU
rnacentral:rRNA from 1 species